rnacentral:rRNA from 1 species
UACGUAGGGGGCAAGCGUUGUCCGGACUUAUUGGGCGUAAAGAGCGUGUAGGCGGCCAAGCAGGUCCGCUGUGAAAACUCGAGGCUCAACCUCGAGAUGUCGAUGGAAACCGUCUGGCUAGAGUCCGGAAGAGGAGUGUGGGAUUCCUGGUGUAGCGGUGAAAUGCGCAGAUAUCAGGAAGAACACCUAUGGCGAAGGCAGCACUCUGGGACGGUACUGACGCUGAGACGCGAAAGCGUGGGGAGCGAACAGG